rnacentral:rRNA from 1 species
CGACACAUGCAGUCGAGCGGUAGAGAGAAGCUUGCUUCUCUUGAGAGCGGCGGACGGGUGAGUAAUGCCUAGGAAUCUGCCUGGUAGUGGGGGAUAACGUUCGGAAACGGACGCUAAUACCGCAUACGUCCUACGGGAGAAAGCAGGGGACCUUCGGGCCUUGCGCUAUCAGAUGAGCCUAGGUCGGAUUAGCUAGUUGGUGAGGUAAUGGCUCACCAAGGCGACGAUCCGUAACUGGUCUGAGAGGAUGAUCAGUCACACUGGAACUGAGACACGGUCCAGACUCCUACGGGAGGCAGCAGUGGGGAAUAUUGGACAAUGGGCGAAAGCCUGAUCCAGCCAUGCCGCGUGUGUGAAGAAGGUCUUCGGAUUGUAAAGCACUUUAAGUUGGGAGGAAGGGUUGUAGAUUAAUACUCUGCAAUUUUGACGUUACCGACAGAAUAAGCACCGGCUAACUCUGUGCCAGCAGCCGCGGUAAUACAGAGGGUGCAAGCGUUAAUCGGAAUUACUGGGCGUAAAGCGCGCGUAGGUGGUUUGUUAAGUUGGAUG